CAGCAGCCGCGGGAAUACGUAGGGGGCAAGCGUUAUCCGGAAUUACUGGGUGUAAAGGGAGCGUAGACGGUUAAACAAGUCUGAAGUGAAAUGCCGGGGCUCAACCCCGGAGCUGCUUUGGGAACUGUAGAACUGGAGUGUCGGAGGGGUAAGCGGAAUUCCCAGUGUAGCGGUGAAAUGCGUAGAUAUUGGGAGGAACACCGGCGGCGAAGGCGGCUUACUGGACGACAACUGACGUUGAGGCUCGAAGGCGUGGGUAGCAGACAGGAUUAGAUACCCCCGUAGUCCCUGUCUCUUAUAC
rnacentral:rRNA from 1 species